CAAUAGCGUAUAUUAAAGUUGUUGCGGUUAAAAAGCUCGUAGUUGGAUUUCUUCCAGGGGCAGCCGGUCCACACUACGUGUGCGUAUCUGGUUUGACUUUGGAAUCCUCUUGGGGAACGGCUCUGCGCUUAAUUGCGUGGACCGGUAUUCAAGACUUUUACUUUGAGGAAAUUAGAGUGUUCACGGCAGGCAAUCGCCCUGAAUACAUUAGCAUGGAAUAAUAAUAUAGGAUUUCGGUUCUAUUUUGUUGGUUUUCUUAGUAGCUGAAAUAAUGAUUAAUAGGACGACUGGGGGCGAUCGUAUUAUCACGUCAGAGGUGGAAUUCUUGGAUUGUGUUACGACGAACUACUGCGAAAGCAUUUGCCAAGGAUGUUUUUCAUUGAUCAAGAACGAAAGUAAGGGG
rnacentral:rRNA from 1 species